ACUGAACUGCCACUUUCUAACAGAAAAAAGCUGUAACUGAGUCACUAGUAAAAGGGGCAGGAAAUUAGAUUAAAGGGGAACACUAGUUUUACAUGCCUAAAUGAAAAGGUGUUAGUUUUAAAUAUAUAGCCUUACAAUAUAUAUUCCAAACCUUCAAAAGUCUCUGACUUUCAUUAUUGAAAUGCUGCACUGAACUGACAGCUGCCCCACUCAUAUGUGUUGCAAGUCGUGCUAUGAAAAAAAAAAGUGAAAACUCCUUAUGUCCUGAUAGGCACCAUGGUAUUGAAAACAUAAAAAUAUUAUGACUUGCAUGAUUGCAACAUGCUUAUUGGAUAGACAAAGAUACAUUGUCUGAUAAUUAUUUAAUAAGACAUUAUUUGGAGGAAGACAACAUUGUAACCAGAUGAAUUUCCUUGCUCAUGUUGCCUGGAACACUGUGGUAGGAAUUGUUUUUGAGGACAGUGCAACAAACAGUGUGAGAAGAAGAACUCUUUCUAAUAAGGAGGAGGAACUGUAAAAGCACAGGAAGACAUAUGUUAUUUUGGUGGCAAAUGCUCCACUUACAUUUAGCCACCUGUCUUAAGAGUGCACUUAUUUUCCAUUUUCUUUACAACCAGUGGAGGAUGAGGCAUCUCCAGCAGGUAUGCAUCUCACUUCUAAAUAAACUACAUUUCAGGAAGCAUUUAUUUAAUCUCUCUACAGCAGGAAUGUUCAGAAACAUUCACAGUUGAAAAUGCCAUUACACCAGAAGGUCUCAAUAUCUAAAAAGGACCACAGGUGGCUCUCAUUGUCACAGUCAAAGUGCUUCCCAAAGAAAAACCAAGACAGAAGAUAAGCAUCUCUAACUCAGCAUCAGAUGAAUACCUUCACUACAGAAACUUAGGAGUUCUGUGCAUAGCAAAGUCUAGAGUUGAUUUACCACGGAUUCGAUAUGUCAGUGGUGAAUAAUUCAGUUCUGGAGAAACAAAGAUAAACCAUGAAUGAAUCAAGCGAUAAGCAGAAUUUGUUUUUGAAAAAGCUGGUCUUCUGCAAUUAAAAAAAAAAAAAAAAAAAGAGCAACAGGAAGGGCCUAGUGUUUUGAGUUAUACAAACAAUAGCAUCGUGUCAAAAGCAGUAAUGCAGUGGCACAUGAAGAAUGAUCAAUCUUCAAUCCCAGUAACGUUCCACAUAAAAAUGGGAAACUUUAUGCAUGUGCAAAAUUUUGGAAGUCACAUGAGCAUAAAAUUAAAUGUAUUUGAU
rnacentral:lncRNA from 7 species